rnacentral:rRNA from 1 species
UACGUAGGGCGCAAGCGUUGUCCGGAAUCAUUGGGCGUAAAGAGCUUGUAGGCGGCCACUUAAGUCCUGCGUGAAAUCUUGCGGCUCAACCGCAAGCGGUCGUGGGAAACUGGGUGGCUAGAGUGCGGGAGAGGAGAGUGGAAUUCCUGGUGUAGCGGUGGAAUGCGCAGAUAUCAGGAAGAACACCCGUGGCGAAGGCGGCUCUCUGGAACGCAACUGACGCUGAGACGCGAAAGCGUGGGGAGCAAACAGG